rnacentral:rRNA from 1 species
CCUACGGGAGGCAGCAGUGGGGAAUAUUGCACAAUGGGGGAAACCCUGAUGCAGCGACGCCGCGUGAGUGAAGAAGUAAUUCGUUAUGUAAAGCUCUAUCAGCAGGGAAGAAAAUGACGGUACCUGAGUAAGAAGCCCCGGCUAACUACGUGCCAGCAGCCGCGGUAAUACGUAGGGGGCAAGCGUUAUCCGGAUUUACUGGGUGUAAAGGGAGCGUAGACGGCAGUGCAAGUCUGGAGUGAAAGGCGGGGGCUCAACCCCCGGACUGCUCUGGAAACUGUACGGCUUGAGUGCAGGAGAGGUAAGUGGAAUGCCUAGUGUAGCGGUGAAAUGCGUAGAUAUUAGGAGGAACACCAGUGGCGAAGGCGGCUUACUGGACUGUAACUGACGUUGAGGCUCGAAAGCGUGGGGAGCAAACAGGAUUAGAUACCCCUGUAGUC